AAGAGACGUUGCCCUUCGGGGUAUACCUCCCACCCAUUGUUUAUUAUACCUUUGUUGCUUUGGCAGACCCGGCUUCGGCCCACCGGCUCCGGCUGGUCAGUGUCUGCCAGAGGACCUAAAACUCUGUUUGUUAAUAUUGUCUGAGUACUAUAUAAUAGUUA
rnacentral:misc_RNA from 1 species